CCCGCCUUAGCUCAGUUUGGUAGAGCGGUCGGCUGUAGACCGACUGGUCCUCCGUUCAAAUCGGAGAGGCGGGA
rnacentral:tRNA from 3 species